UCUGGCUCAGGACGAACGCUGGCGGCGUGGUUAGACAUGCAAGUCGAACGAGAAGCUCCCUUCGGGGAGUGGAGAGUGGCGCACGGGUGAGUAACACGUGAGCAACCUGCCGGGAAGCCCGGGAUAGCCCUCCGAAAGGAGGAUUAAUACCGGAUGUGGCCACCCUGCGAUUGCAGGGGAAGCUAAAGGAUUUAUUCACUUCCCGAGGGGCUCGCGGCCCAUCAGCUUGUUGGUGAGGGUAACGGCCCACCAAGGCGACAACGGGUAGCUGGUCUGAGAGGAUGGUCAGCCACACUGGAACUGAGACACGGUCCAGACACCUACGGGUGGCAGCAGUCGAGAAUCAUUCGCAAUGGGGGAAACCCUGACGAUGCGACGCCGCGUGGAGGAUGAAGGCCUUAGGGUUGUAAACUCCUGUCAAGAGGGAAUAAGCAAGUGAAGGUACCUCUAGAGGAAGGGGCGGCUAAUUCCGUGCCAGCAGCCGCGGUAACACGGAAGUCCCGAGCGUUGUUCGGAUUCAUUGGGCGUAAAGGGUGCGUAGGCGGCGCGGAAAGUCCGGCGUGAAAGGCAGGGGCUCAACCUCUGGACUGCGUUGGAUACUUCCGUGCUUGAGGACUGGAGGGGAGACUGGAAUUCACGGUGUAGCAGUGAAAUGCGUAGAUAUCGUGAGGAAGACCGGUGGCGAAGGCGAGUCUCUGGACAGAUCCUGACGCUGAGGCACGAAGGCUGGGGGAGCGAACAGGAUUAGAUACCCUGGUAGUCCCAGCAGUAAACGAUGUGAGCUUGAUGUGGGGGGAUUCGACCCCUUCCGUGUCGAAGCUAACGCGAUAAGCUCACCGNCUGAGGAGUACGGCCGCAAGGCUAAAACUCAAAGAAAUUGACGGGGACCCGCACAAGCGGUGGAGUAUGUGGCUUAAUUCGAUGCAACGCGAAGAACCUU
rnacentral:rRNA from 1 species